rnacentral:misc_RNA from 1 species
CUCCUGGAAACAUCUUCGUUGGCACGUCAUCCUCGCCGUGUCACUUCAUUAGCCAACUCCCUGGAAAUCUCCUUCACCACGUCAAACUCCUAGGCCAGAAAACACUGCUCAUCCCUCCUAAACGGAUAGAGCAGGCGCUCCUAGAAAAUUCCCAGCCUUAUCCUGUGCAUGUGUUCAAAUCCCUGGAAACCUGUGCGUCUCCUCUGAUGCGCGUUCAGCUCCUCCUCUCAGCUCAUGCACGCCAACUUCCAGGCCUUUCACCACUGCCAAUCAAAUCUCUCGCUCGACGCUGGUCACACGCACCACGCACGCCCAGCCGAGCUCCUGCUUCCCUCUCCCGCGGUGCCUGGCUUCCUCCAAGCUCGCCCCCAACCACAACCACGCCCUGGUCCGCGCUCCAGCCCUCCCCAUCCUCCUCUUGCUAUGGUGCCCAGCCGAGCUCUCUCCCCUUCCUGCCAUGGCCGACGCCCCUCCCUGCUGUAGCUCGAUGCCCUCCCCUGCAGCAAGCAGUGCCCUCCCCUUUCUGCAGCAAGUGGGUGCCCCCAGCCCCUCCUUUGUUCCCAUGGCCGGCCACCUCUGCUGCUUCCAUGGUGAUCUCUAAAUCCCUUUGUUGUUUUACUAGUUCUUGUUAAUACCCUGCUGAUGUGAGGUUUUAUGUGUGUUGAUGUGUGCGAUAUGGAGUAAAAUCCUUGGAGAAUUAGGUGGAGAAGAAGGUUAAGUUCAACACUCAUUAGGUGUUCGAUGAUAUGCUCGAACUGGUGGCCGUCUUCGUUCUUGCUGAAAUCGAGUCGGAGCAUGAUGUGGUUCGUUACACGUGAUGCGAAGGACAAGAGCCGAGUUGAUCCCAAAAUGAUGCUAGUGAACGAACCUAAGGAUGGAUGAUCUGAUAGAGUGCCAGAAUGGGAGAUGCUCACCAAGUGGUCGUCAAUUAACAACACUAACUUAGUGUUAUCCCAGGUUCGUUACACGUGAUGCGAAGGACAAGAGCCGAGUUGAUCCCAAAAUGAUGCUAGUGAACGAACCUAAGGAUGGAUGAUCUGAUAGAGUGCCAGAAUGGGAGAUGCUCACCAAGUGGUCGUCAAUUAACAACACUAACUUAGUGUUAUCCCAGGGUCGAUCUUCGGAGUCUUCUCCACCACUUUCCACAUCAUAACUGUCGCUAUCACCAGUAUCUUCAGACAAGCCUUCCAAAAUCUCCCUGGUAUCUUCAGAUUCGGAUCAUGAGCAUACAGAGCAUGGUCAGGACGAAGCCUGAGCGAGACGAAAGGUGAUUAUGACGAAGGACAAGGUAAUCACGAAGCUGUGCGCAGGAAAAGCUUCGACAUGGCAGCAGAAAAGGGGAACCGACUUAAAGAUGAAAAGGCAAAUUAGACCUCGAAGAAUUACUAUAGAGUUAUUAGCAAAUGUAAAGGGCAUGGGUGUAAUUUUACAUGGGCUGCAUCCCGUGCCUAUAAAUAGGUGAACAGUAUCCUCGUACUGUUCACGCUGAUUUGGCAUUCGCUUUUUGCAUCACGCUUGUACCCUUGCUUUCCUUCAAACCGAAGGUACAUUUAUAAUUUGUUAUUGUCGAUAUGAUAAUGCAAAUAAAAAAUAAGUUGAUAAUAAUGUUUAAGUGUUUAUGUUAUUUUUCA